rnacentral:rRNA from 1 species
CCCUUAGAUGUUCUGGGAUGCACGCGAGUUACACUGAUUCGUUCAACGAGUUUAUGACCUUGCCUGAUGAGGUGGGGGAAUCUUUUCAAAUCGCAUCGUGAUGGGGAUAGAGUAUUGUAACUGUUAGUCUUCAACGAGGAAUUCCUAGUAAGUACGUGUCAUCAGCUCGUACUGAUUAUGUCCCUGCCCUUUGUACACACCGCCCGUCGCUCCUACCGAUUGAGUGCUCAGGUGAAUAGUAUGGACUGCAUCAGUGUUCGGUCUCCGAAUGUUGACGCGAGAAAUUCUGUGAAUCUUAUUGCUUAGAGGAAGGAGAAGUCGUAACA